ACGAACCGCCCAAACGUUAUUCGGAAUUACUGGGCUUAAAGGGUACGUAGGCGGUGCGGUAAGUUGGAUGUGAAAUCCCACGGCUCAACCGUGGAACUGCGUUCAAUACUGCCGUGCUUGAGGGAGACAGAGGCGAGCGGAACUGAUGGUGGAGCGGUGAAAUGCGUUGAUAUCAUCAGGAACACCCGUGGCGAAAGCGGCUCGCUGGGUCUCUUCUGACGCUGAGGUACGAAAGCUAGGGGAGCGAACGGG
rnacentral:rRNA from 1 species